rnacentral:lncRNA from 1 species
AAGCUACAUAUUCUGCUUGAUCUUCUUAUUAGUUUGUCACAUUGUCACCAUGAAAUCUAGGUCAAGUUUAAAAAUAUGUUAUCUGAGAUUAAAAAAUCUAGGUCUCUAGCUCAAGACAGAAAAACCUGGUUGACACUCUAAAAUGUUUGUUAGAAUAUUUGUUUCAAUGAAGUCUAGGGUAAAAGAAUUUUUGCAUACUAGAGGCUAUGUUUUGUAUCUGAGUUUUAUGAAUUUUUUUCAGUAUGUCUGUUGUUGUAAAAUUAAGAUAUAGAAACAAAAACUAGGUCGCACAGUCAAAGGAUUGAAAAACAUGGUCAAUGUUCUACCUGAAUUGAUUAAAGCAUGGUCAUGGUAUUUGUUGUAAUGAAAAGUAGAUAA